UUUAACUGAGCGUUCAGUUACUUGACGUAGACCCGAAACCGGGCGACCUACCCAUGAGCAGGAUGAAGCGAAAGUAAAAUUUCGUGGAGGUCCGAACCCACGAGCGUUGAAAAGCUCGGGGAUGACUUGUGGGUAGCGGUGAAAUUCCAAUCGAGCCCGGAGAUAGCUGGUUCUCCCCGAAAUAGCUUUAGGGCUAGCCUCAAGGUGAGAGAUACGGAGGUAGAGCACUGAAUGUCCUAGGGGGUAUUGCACCUACCGAAGACUAUCAAACUCCGAAUGCCGUCAUCUUAUACUUGGGAGUCAGACUGUGGGUGAUAAGAUUCAUAGUCGAAAGGGCAACAGCCCAGAUCGUCAGCUAAGGUCCCUAAAUGUAAGUUAAGUGGUAAAGGAUGUGGGAUUGCACAGACAACCAGGAUGUUGGCUUAGAAGCAGCCACUCAUUCAAAGAGUGCGUAAUAGCUCACUGGUCGAGUGAUCCUGCGCCGAAGAUUUCCGGGGCUAAAACUUACUACCGAAGCUACGGCAUCAGUAAUGAUGGGUAGGGGAGCUUCACAUACGGGUUGAAGCAUGACCGUAAGGACAUGUGGACAGUAUGGGAGUGAGAAUGUUGGCAUGAGUAGCGAGAUGUGGGUGAGAAUCCCACAGGCCGUAAACCCAAGGUUUCCAGGGGAAGGUUCGUCCGCCCUGGGUUAGUCGGGACCUAAGCUGAGGCCGAAAGGCGUAGGGGAUGGACAACAGGUUGAUAUUCCUGUACUACCGAUAACCGUUUGAGAGAAGGGAUGACACAGUAGGAUAAGCUAAGCACACUGUUGGUUAUGUGUGCCCAAGCAUUGAGGCAGUCAAAGUAGGCAAAUCCGCUUUGAUAAUGCUGGGAUGUGAUGGGGAGCGAAAUUUAGUAGCGAAGUAGCUGAUUUCACACUGUCAAGAAAAGUCUCUAUCGAGGUUAAAGGUACCCGUACCGCAAACCGACACAGGUG
rnacentral:rRNA from 1 species